rnacentral:rRNA from 1 species
GAUGAACGCUAGCGGCAGGCUUAAUACAUGCAAGUCGAGGGGUAGCAAGAUUGUAGCAAUACAAUUGUUGACGACCGGCAAACGGGUGCGGAACACGUACACAACCUUCCUACAAGUGGGGAAUAGCCCAGAGAAAUUUGGAUUAAUACCCAGUAACAUAGCGAAGUGGCAUCACAUUGCUAUUAUAGCUUCGGCGCUUGUUGAUGGGUGUGCGGCUGAUUGGAUAGUGGGCGGGGUAACGGCCCACCAAGUCUACGAUCAGUAGCUGAUGUGAGAGCAUGAUCAGCCACACGGGCACUGAGACACGGGCCCGACUCCUACGGGAGGCAGCAGUAAGGAAUAUUGGACAAUGGACGCAAGUCUGAUCCAGCCAUGCCGCGUGAAGGAUUAAGGUCCUCUGGAUUGUAAACUUCUUUUAUAAGGGACGAAAAAAGGUCUUUCUAGAUCGUCUGACGGUACCUUAUGAAUAAGCACCGGCUAACUCCGUGCCAGCCGCCGCCGUAAAAC